CGCCGCCCGCGGUUUGAUCGGGAGCGGCUGCCUGCGCCGCGGUUCUGGUUCCGGUUCCGGUUCCGGUUGGCGUUUGCACCUGCGACUGCCGUGAGCAGUCAUGGCGUACUCCACAGUGCAGAGAGUUGUUCUGGCUUCUGGGCUUGUCCUGGCUCUGUCGCUGCUGCUGCCCAAGGCCUUCCUGUCCCGCGGGAAGCGGCAGGAGCCGCCGCCGACACCUGAAGGAAAAUUGGGCCGAUUUCCUCCUAUGAUGCAUCAUCACCAGGUACCCACAGGUGGCCAGACUCCUGGGGCUCAUUUCCAGAGGUCUCACCUUGCAGAGGCAUUUGCAAAGGCCAAAGGAUCAGGCGGAGGUGCUGGAGGAGGAGGUAGUGGAAGAGGCCUGAUGGGGCAGAUUAUUCCAAUCUACGGUUUUGGGAUUUUUUUAUAUAUACUGUACAUUCUAUUUAAGCUCUCAAAGGGGAAAACAACUGCAGAGGAUGGUGGGAAAUGCUCUACUGCCACACCUGGAAACACCCACAGGAAAAUUACCAGUUUUGAGCUUGCUCAACUGCAAGAAAAACUGAAAGAGACAGAAGCAGCCAUGGAAAAAUUAAUCAACAGAGUGGGACCUAAUGGUGAGAGCAGAGCACAGACUGUGACUUCUGACCAAGAGAAACGGUUGCUACAUCAGCUCCGAGAAAUCACCAGGGUCAUGAAAGAAGGAAAAUUCAUUGACAGAUUUUCUCCAGAGAAAGAAGCUGAGGAGGCUCCUUACAUGGAGGACUGGGAAGGUUACCCUGAAGAGACUUACCCAAUUUAUGACCUUUCAGAGUGUAUCAAGCGUAGGCAAGAAACAAUUUUGGUGGAUUACCCUGACCCAAAAGAGCUUUCUGCUGAAGAAACAGCUGAGAGAAUGGGAGUGAUAGAAGAGGAAGAAUCAGAUCAUUUGGGUUGGGAAAGUCUGCCCACUGACCCCAGAGCCCAGGAAGAUAAUUCUGUCACCUCGUGUGAUCCAAAGCCAGAAACAUGUUCCUGCUGUUUUCAUGAAGACGAGGAUCCUGCUGUCUUGGCAGAGAAUGCUGGAUUCAAUGCAGAUAGCUACCUUGAGCAAGAGGAAACCACUAAAGAAGAGUGGUCCCAGGACUUUAGAGAUGAAGGGUUGGGCAUCAACAUUGAUAAAGCAUAUACAGGCAGCAUGCUGAGGAAGCGUAACCCCCAGGGUUUAGAGUGAAAACAGCCAGUCUGAAGUAUCCAUUACUCAAGUCCCAAGGUGACCUUUCUCUCCUCAGAUUUCCUUCUUGGCCCUGUGCCCUGUACUUUCUUCACUGUGUUCAAGUGUCAUAGCUAUCAGGCCACUAUCACGGAUAUCAUGUAUCCUUCCUGGUGCUCACACACCUGUCACCUUGUAAAACAUGGACAUUAGUGUGAACACAGGACAGCUUUGCUCUUUCUCUUUCUGCCUUUCCCCUAUCAGAGAAGUUGAUCCAUUAAGUAAUUAUGUUUGGUCUAUUGUAGUUACAGAUGGAACCACUCAGGGGCAAAGGUCUGACUCUUCCUGGUAGGUGUAACAGAUAGUUCACCUGUGAACGAACAUCAGCUUACAGAUGAUGAGGACUUAAGGUUGCAAGAAUGAAGAUUUCAGACUCCAAGAUGCCUUAUUCUUUGGGCCUUGAGCAGGUUAGUAGUCCCCUGGGGAAAAGAGAACAUUUUAUUUGUGGGGCUGGGCCCAGAGCAGGGUAAGACUGCUCUCUGAGCUGAAGCCUCUUCUUUGCAGUGAGGGUCUUCCUAGGAACAUUGAUGCUGCCUCAAACGUCCUCUUUUCUCCAGAGUAGGGAAGACUCCCACUGAUCUGAGAAUGAGCCCAGAGGCUUGUUUGGGGACUGUUUUACUCUGAUACUGCCUGGAUAUCUAGCUUCCUUGACCCCUGUUCUGCUUAACAGAACUGCCAAACCCAGAAGUACCUUUGCACUCCUGGUUUUCAGUGGACAGAGGAAGCUUUAGAUAAAGACUUUAGACCCUGCCUUGCAGAGACAAGACUUGAGGCCAUUGAAGCUGUAGGAAGGCCUGCCCAGGGAUGGUCCUGCCAUGAGGAGGCUGCAGCCCUAUAAGAGGGCUCAAGAUUGUGAAUUCUGCUCCUGCCAUGAGGAGCUCAGAAGGCCAGGAAGCCAGCAACUGGGGAGAGAAUCUGUGCGCUUAUGGACAGUCCUUACCUAAAGCUGUUUCUGAAUGUUGCACCCUUUGAGAAAUUUGUUCUCAAAAGCACAUAAAUUGAAACAGAAAUGAGAACUGAUCUUGUAUACAAAGUGCCAACUCAACAGGGAAGUUGGAGUAUGUCUGUUGCAGAGAACCAAUGUAGCAGCGCCCAGGGGUAGAGACCAUAUGUUCCAUACUCAGAUAUUUGGGUUUUUUGAGAGAGCUGGGGAAAGUCGCAACUAGAUUAGGCCUGGGAGAUUUUGACCAAACUAAAGGCCUUUUCUCCUUACUGCAUCUGACACAUGUCUUGAGACAAGAUAGUACCCAUGAAUUACAUCAUGAAGUAUGUGUGAAUUCAGUUUACAUGUAAGACCUGAGAGUUUGAAGAGGGCACAUUCCCAAAGACAUUCCCAGUCAUGAAAUGUAGAAGACUGGAAAAUUAAGAAAUUAUGUAAAGGUAGAUAUGGCUUUUAGAGUUACAUUAUGCUUGGCAUGAGUAAGAUGCCGGGAAAAUAGUUUAAAAUCAUACAUCAGCAUACAGACUGCUGUUAGAAGGUAUGGGAUCAUAGUAAGAUAAUCUGUCAGCUACUAGGCAUUUAUUGUUAAUUGAGCUACAGAGAAAAGUCAUUCAAGACUGAAUUUAUGAAAGUAUAUUGCAUCUAUCUCUGUGUAGAACAUUUGCUUCACAUUGUAAAGAAUGCAGUUUAAAAUGUAUUGAAUGCAAUCUAGAUGUACACUAAAGGUGAAAAAUAACAGGUGCUCUUUACUGUUUCGAUAAAUUGUUCUCUGUUAUUUCCCUUCGUUUACUAUGAGGGGUUGAUUUAUGAGGAGAGCUCUGGGUUCCUCGCUCAGAUUUCCUUUUUGCCCUAGGAUAUGAUUCCCUUAUUAGAGAUAAAUACUUCUGUUUUCUUGUAGCUAAUUCAUUCAUUUAGCAGUCAGUUGCUCAGUGCUAGGUACUAGGAACAGAGGCUCAAUUUCUGCUCUCAAAAAACUCAAUAUAAUGAGAGAGAGGCUGACAGAUAAAAUGAACUAUGACUCUAUAAGAGGGCUCAAGAUUGUGAAUUCUGCAGGCAGAGAAACAUGAGCCAUGGUCUGUCCCUGCAUUUUCUAGCUGUGGAAUCUUGGAUCGGCUCCUUAACUGGUCUGAGCUUUGGCUUCAGGGUAGUAAAGGGAAGAGUAUUAAAAGUUCUGGUUAAAUGAAAUCAGUGUGUGUGUGUGUGUGUGUGUGUAAAACAGCAUUGGUUCUAGCUCAUACAUGAUAACCACUCAUUAAGUGGUAAUUAUGUUUUUAUUAUAAGGGCUAUGCUGUAAUUCAGACAUGGGCCCAAAACUACAGGAAAGAGAAAUUGUUUUUGCUAAAGUAUUUCCAAGACACUUCAGUUUCCUGGGAGGUGGGCCUUGAGGCAUGCUAAGAACUUCUUCAGGUGGGCAAAGAAGAGAGGACAUUCUUGGCAGAAAGAGAUGUUGAAAAAAGCAGUAGGUGUGAAAAUACAUGGAUGUUCAAGUAUUUUGAUGAGGCUGUUAUGUAAAGUGUUGUUAGUCUUUGGGGAAAAUUGGCUUAUGGAAAUUCCUGCCAGAAGUACUAAGCCCUUAUGGUAGUUCUUCCUGCCCUAGCUCUUGGUUGGUUUAUAUAUAAGGAAUAUAUUUGUGUAUGUAUAUAUCAGACAUUUGGAUGUACCUUUCAGUUAUUUAGAAUUCAGACAAUUCUUUUUGGAUUUUCCAGAAUUAUUUUAUCCUUCAGGGAUGAUAGUUAUGUGUGUAUACAACCCAGGAUGACAAAAUCAUGGGACUGGUUUUUGUUGCCAGGGCUGCUGUUUCUUUUCUUGCGGUCUUCAUUUCUCACAACAAGGGGGCUGGGAACUUGAUCAGUCCCCUGGCCUUUGGGCAGUGUGGCAGAGUAAACAAGUCAUACCUCUAUGGACAGUUAGCCCACAAAACAACUGCAUAAUCUGGGAUCAUUCUUGAUAAAUCAGGUGGGUAGUGCAGCCAGGAGAUCCUCUUUCCUGGUCACAACGGGAGCACAAAGAAACCAUUUCAUUAUCUCCAUGACUAGCUCCAGAAGCUGAGCCCAGGGAGGUGUGCUGAGGAGUGGAGGUGUAUUUGGCCUGUAGAAGCAGUGGCCUUUGAGAACCAUACUCUGCACCUUAUAUGGCUUGGGUGAUCAAAUAACUUAUGGUCCAAAUGCAAACACCUUGGAAAAAGGGAGCUUUAAUGUAAUUAUGCCAAGGUGAUAGGCAUAAACUAAGACUAUCCUGGACAUAGGGCCACCUCUGUCUAUAGCCAUCUAAGAUUUUUCAACCUGCUGACUAAACAAACAAAACCCUCUUUCCUUUUUAGAAUAUCCUGUAUAUGCUAUUUCCCACCAGGGGCAGAGGCAGAGGCCACAGGAGAUAGGCCAUGGUUCAGCGGCGCCACCCUGGCCCCCUGCUGUGGCUGCUGCCUUGGUUCUCUUGGCUGAAGCUGGUGCUGUUGGGCGUGUGGCUCCCAGCUGCACACUGGCGAGUGAGUCGGCCUCUUGAACUGCUCAGGAAACAUCCCCAGAUGGAGAAAGAGAAACAGGCACUGGGUGAGACCGGAGCUCCCACCUGAACACAGUCCCCAGCACAGCAUUUUCAACCAUACCCUGAGUCCCACCAGGGCCCCUGUACCACUUCCACAGCCCACAGAAUCAGGCCCACUCACCUCUACUAGGCAAAGAUUCCAGGGCAGGCCCAGCUGGAAGGAGGCAGCACCCCCAGCCCAGUGUGAUCAAGUCAACAGCCAGACCAACACCUGUGAUCAGCCAACAAACUAAGCACUCAAAGUUCUGGGCCACCAAACCGUACUGAGCCUGAACAGAGGCAGGGAGAAUGUCCAAGAAGAUAUGGCCUCUGAAGAUGGUGAAGGAGGAACAAAGGCUGCAUCUUCUGGAAGAGACCACAACCAGGGCAAGCACUCCAGGGAGCCUAUGAGGGGGCUCUGCAGGGAUGAGCCCAUGGGAGGCUGGGGUAUAGGAGUGCUCAGAACAACUCUGGGAUACAAGAAGCUACAAGCACCAACAGUGAGGUCUCAGAAGGGUUCCGGCUGGUGGCCUCCAAAUUCUCCCAAUCUGCUCAAAAUCCUUGAAUGGUUUCUGAUUGCUCUUAAGAUGAAGACCGACAUUCUCUCCCUUCCCCUAGGUCUAAACACAUACUCCCCACCUCUGGAGCACCAAGAGUUGCAGCCACACCAGGCUGGUCUGGUGCCUCACAUGCACGGCACUCCCUUUUGCCACAGGGCCCUUGCUCCUGCUGCCUGCACUGCCUUCCCCCUCACCCCCCUCAGUGAUCAGCUCCCAUUCAUCCUGCAGAUUUCAGCUUGGAUGUCACCUCCGGAGGGAAGCUGUGCCUGCCUCCCUAGUCAGCGCAGGUGUUGUCAUCUAUUCACAGAAUUUGGCUUCCUUCCACAAAGCACACCCAUGACGGUCUGUUUAACAUUGUCUCUCCACCUAGACUGUAAGGUCCAUGAAAGCAGGGACCACACCCAUUUGUGCUCACUCGGGACCUACAGCCUCUAAUCCAGAACCUGACACAAACCUCAAUAAAUAUUUAAGAAAUGAA